GAUGAACGCUGGCGGCGUGCCUAAUACAUGCAAGUCGAGCGAACGGACGAGAAGCUUGCUUUUCUGAUGUUAGCGGCGGACGGGUGAGUAACACGUGGAUAACCUACCUAUAAGACUGGGAUAACUUCGGGAAACCGGAGCUAAUACCGGAUAAUAUUUUGAACCGCAUGGUUCAAAAGUGAAAGACGGUCUUGCUGUCACUUAUAGAUGGAUCCGCGCUGCAUUAGCUAGUUGGUAAGGUAACGGCUUACCAAGGCAACGAUGCAUAGCCGACCUGAGAGGGUGAUCGGCCACACUGGAACUGAGACACGGUCCAGACUCCUACGGGAGGCAGCAGUAGGGAAUCUUCCGCAAUGGGCGAAGACCUGACGGAGCAACGCCGCGUGAGUGAUGAAGGUCUUCGGAUCGUAAAACUCUGUUAUUAGGGAAGAACAUAUGUGUAAGUAACUGUGCACAUCUUGACGGUACCUAAUCAGAAAGCCACGGCUAACUACGUGCCAGCAGCCGCGGUAAUACGUAGGUGGCAAGCGUUAUCCGGAAUUAUUGGGCGUAAAGCGCGCGUAGGCGGUUUUUUAAGUCUGAUGUGAAAGCCCACGGCUCAACCGUGGAGGGUCAUUGGAAACUGGAAAACUUGAGUGCAGAAGAGGAAAGUGGAAUUCCAUGUGUAGCGGUGAAAUGCGCAGAGAUGUGGAGGAACACCAGUGGCGAAGGCGACUUUCUGGUCUGUAACUGACGCUGAUGUGCGAAAGCGUGGGGAUCAAACAGGAUUAGAUACCCUGGUAGUCCACGCCGUAAACGAUGAGUGCUAAGUGUUAGGGGGUUUCCGCCCCUUAGUGCUGCAGCUAACGCAUUAAGCACUCCGCCUGGGGAGUACGACCGCAAGGUUGAAACUCAAAGGAAUUGACGGGGGCCCGCACAAGCGGUGGAGCAUGUGGUUUAAUUCGAAGCAACGCGAAGAACCUUACCAAAUCUUGACAUCCUUUGACAACUCUAGAGAUAGAGCCUUCCCCUUCGGGGGACAAAGUGACAGGUGGUGCAUGGUUGUCGUCAGCUCGUGUCGUGAGAUGUUGGGUUAAGUCCCGCAACGAGCGCAACCCUUAAGCUUAGUUGCCAUCAUUAAGUUGGGCACUCUAAGUUGACUGCCGGUGACAAACCGGAGGAAGGUGGGGAUGACGUCAAAUCAUCAUGCCCCUUAUGAUUUGGGCUACACACGUGCUACAAUGGACAAUACAAAGGGCAGCGAAACCGCGAGGUCAAGCAAAUCCCAUAAAGUUGUUCUCAGUUCGGAUUGUAGUCUGCAACUCGACUACAUGAAGCUGGAAUCGCUAGUAAUCGUAGAUCAGCAUGCUACGGUGAAUACGUUCCCGGGUCU
rnacentral:rRNA from 1 species